rnacentral:rRNA from 1 species
AUAUCAGUCAUGCAUAGCAUAUCAAUAAGCGGAGGAAAAGAAACUAACAAGGAUUCCCUUAGUAACGGCGAGUGAAGCGGGAAGAGCUCAAAUUUGAAAUCUUCAAGGUUUUACCUUGACGAAUUGUAGUUUAAAGAAGUGUUUUCUGUUGGAGUUUUGGUAAAAGUUCUUUGGAAUAGGACAUCAUAGAGGGUGAGAAUCCCGUAUUUGACCAUUAUUUCCAGCUGUGUGAUACACUUUCAAAGAGUCGGAUUGUUUGGGAAUGCAGUCCAAAAUGGGUGGUAAAUUUCAUCUAAAGCUAAAUAUUGGCGAGAGACCGAUAGCGAACAAGUACCGUGAGGGAAAGAUGAAAAGAACUUUGAAAAGAGAGUUAAACAGUACGUGAAAUUGUCAAAAGGGAAGCGUUUGACACCAGUGUUGUUUUCUCGAAAAUCAAUUAAAAAUGAUGGGAUUUUGUGUUGUAUUGACUUUAUCAGCUUUCUGCACUUUUUUCUUAUCUUUCUUAAUGCACUUUUGGUUAACAAGUCAACAUCAAUUUCUUUUGUUGUAAAAGGGUAUGAGGAAGGUGGCUUUCUUUUCGGAGAAAGUGUUUAUAGCCUUGUGCCUCUGCAAUCGGAGAGAUUGAGGUCUGCAGCGUAGAUCCUUCGGGGUUAGAUACGUUUGUGCUAAGUUACAGCUUUUCAUAGACAACUUGUUGACUAUGUUUAGUCUUGUAGCUUACUCGCUGAUGCUAUUUUACCUACGCUUAGGAUGUUGAUCUCUCACAGUCGAGC